rnacentral:rRNA from 1 species
CCUACGGUAGACAGCAGUAGGGAAUAUUGCUCAAUGGGGGAAACCCUGCAGCAGCAACGCCGCGUGGAGGAUGAAGGUUUUCGGAUUGUAAACUCCUUUUGUUAGAGAAGAUAAUGACGGUAUCUAACGAAUAAGCACCGUCUAACGCCGUGCCAGCAGCCGCGGGAAUACGGAGGGUGCAAGCGUUACUCGGAAUCACUGGGCGUAAAGAGCGCGUAGGCGGGAUAGCAAGUCAGACGUGAAAUCCUAUGGCUUAACCAUAGAACUGCAUUGGAAACUGUUAUUCUAGAGUAUGGGAGAGGUAGGUGGAAUUCUUGGUGUAGUGGUAAAAUCCGUAGAGAUCAAGAGGAAUACUCAUUGCGAAGGCGACCUGCUAGAACAUAACUGACGCUGAUGCGCGAAAGCGUGGGGAGCAAACAGGAUUAGAUACCCGGGUAGUC